UACGGAGGGUGCAAGCGUUAUCCGGAUUCACUGGGUUUAAAGGGUGUGUAGGCGGACUUUUAAGUCAGUGGUGAAAUCUCUGAGCUCAACUCAGAAACUGCCAUUGAUACUAUUGGUCUUGAAUGUUGUGGAGGUGGGCGGAACGGGUCAUGUAGCGGUGAAAUGCUUAGAGAUGACCCGGAACACCGAUUGCGAAGGCAGCCCACUACGCAACUAUUGACGCUGAGGCACGAAAGCGUGGGGAUCAAACAGG
rnacentral:rRNA from 1 species